UGUAUCCCAGGUGUGUCUCACCUGCAGUUCCUGCAGUCUCCUCCGGAGGGCGCCGUUGUCGCGCCGCAGCCGCUCGUUGUUGGCCAGCGCCAGGUGUAACCCCGGUGUAACCCCGGUGUAACCCAGGUGUAUCCCAGGUGUAACCCCGGUGUAACCCCGGUGUAUCCCAGGUGUGUCUCACCUGCAGUUCCUGCAGCCUCCUCCGGAGGGCGCCGUUGUCGCGCCGCAGCCGCUCGUUGUCGG